CUAUUCAAGAAGAAGUCGCUUCAUGUGAUGCUGUUGCUGUGAGCACAUGGUACAAGUGUGGAAAGUGUAAGAUAAUGCUGAGCGAAGCGGAGUGUCUUUGCUGUUGCGAGUUAGAAUCUGCGAAUAUUUUUAAUUUGAUUGAUAACUCCAUUACAGUACAGGAAAAAUUUCACAGCAUCAUACUUUUGAGGGAGGUUUUAUGGACCGCAUUGGUAGGAAUGCAUGACACAAAUGCGAGUCAUCUACCACAACGAGAAAAUGUAACCAACGUAAAUAUCUUCAGUCUUUUCACAUAAUUACAGAAUUAUAUACAGUACUGUAAAAAGGUUUGUUAACAUCAUGUUCGUGUAACGAGCGUGGUGCACACGAACUACGAUAAAAUCGUGGUCUUUAUGUAUAACAAACAUGCUAACAUUCUAUCGUGGCCACCACGCUAAUAUUAUUAUCUCCACGAAGGAUCGUGUGUCCCACGAUUAUUUUCGCGAGCUCCACGAUUUUUAUAACCAAUAUAAUUUAAUUUUUUUUCUUUUCAAAAAAGUAUUUUAUUAAAGUUAAUUUGUUUGUUUCAGGUUUUA